AUUGAACGCUGGCGGCAUGCCUUACACAUGCAAGUCGAACGGCAGCACGGGUGCUUGCCCCUGGUGGCGAGUGGCGAACGGGUGAGUAAUACAUCGGAACAUGUCCUGUAGUGGGGGAUAGCCCGGCGAAAGCCGGAUUAAUACCGCAUACGAUCUACGGAUGACAGCGGGGGACCUUCGGGCCUCGCGCUAUCGGGUUGGCCGAUGGCUGAUUAGCUAGUUGGUGGGGUAAAGGCCUACCAAGGCGACGAUCAGUAGCUGGUCUGAGAGGACGACCAGCCACACUGGGACUGAGACACGGCCCAGACUCCUACGGGAGGCAGCAGUGGGGAAUUUUGGACAAUGGGCGAAAGCCUGAUCCAGCAAUGCCGCGUGUGUGAAGAAGGCCUUCGGGUUGUAAAGCACUUUUGUCCGGAAAGAAAUCCUUGGCCCUAAUACGGGCGGGGGAUGACGGUACCGGAAGAAUAAGCACCGGCUAACUACGUG
rnacentral:rRNA from 1 species